AUUGCAUUUUUUACAUGGUUUUUACUUGCAAAUUGUGAACUUGGAUGAUUUCCUUGUGUGCCCCACAACAAGGGAAGAGCCUACAAGCAGGGGCUGCACUUGUGCAGGUAACAGGUAAAACGUAACGCUUCUCAAAGCCUUGCGACCCCCUAAAUCGAAAUCUGGAGAAGGGGCAGGGGUCGCAAAGGAGACGACGAAAGGGAAGUGACUGAGGCAGAGGUCAAAGUGAAAGUCUUGCGAUCAACCCAGAACUGAAGGGAAGGGGAAUAAACUGGACAAGCCUGAUAGUGACAGUCACAAAUAGUGGAGGAAGCCAAGCACAGAUUUUAGGCCACUGGAGGAAACUCCAGUCACUAGGGAGGGGGCUCUGGGGCGAACCACCCCGCUGUGCUGGGGCUGACCAUCCCCCAUGUGUGUGGCAGGGCAGAGCAUCCUUUACAGAAGAAUGAGAGACUGGAAGGCUGCUGCUAUAACCACAUUUUCUAGAUUUCUUCCUCAUCUUCUCUUGCAUGAGGCCCUUUUCUCUCUUUCUUCCCUUGUCAGCGGCCUUCUGGGCUGGCACCAUUUGCUUUCAGGGCUGACAGUUGGCUGGGAAAAGUGCCUGUAUUUCUCUUCUCUCUUUGGCAUCUGUCUUAACCCUCCUUAUCGCAGCUGCUGCUGUGAGUUCAUGCAUCCUCUGUGUGCUGUUUUCCACCCCCAAAUUGCCGAACCUGCCCUGUUUGCUGUUUCUGGUGGUGCAGAGCGUUUCAGAAUUAAAAAUUUAAGACAU
rnacentral:lncRNA from 1 species